rnacentral:rRNA from 1 species
UACGGAGGGUGCAAGCGUUAUCCGGAUUCACUGGGUUUAAAGGGUGCGUAGGUGGGCUGGUAAGUCAGUGGUGAAAUCUCCGAGCUUAACUUGGAAACUGCCAUUGAUACUAUCAGUCUUGAAUACCGUGGAGGUUAGCGGAAUAUGUCAUGUAGCGGUGAAAUGCUUAGAUAUGACAUAGAACACCAAUUGCGAAGGCAGCUGGCUACACGAAUAUUGACACUGAGGCACGAAAGCGUGGGGAUCAAACAGG